CGUCUGUCAGGCUUACAGAUCACACUGCUGCCAGAAUCACGUUUCCAUGCCUCACCCGCCUCACCAUGACCUGCUGGAUGAACACCUUGGCCAUUCUAACUGCAAUCUGUGUUGUGUGUGCAGCAAGUAAAGACAGUGUUAAUCAAACUGAGUCACAUGUGAUAAGUAUUGAGGGAGAAACAGUGACUCUCACCUGUGAAUAUAAGACAACCAGUAUCAAACCUUACCUCUUCUGGUACAAACAGCAACGGAGUAAAAUGCCUGACUACCUACUGGGACGUGGAAGUUUUGGAUCUGGCCAUAACGGCACUGAGUUCAGUGAGAGAUUCCACUGCACCUUCUCCUCCAGUUCUGUUCCUCUGACAAUCAGGAAUCUGCAAGUGUCUGACUCUGCUGUCUACUACUGUGCCCUGCAGCCCACAGGCAAUCAUCAGGGAAUCCGAUAACAUCAAACAGGGCUGAGACUACUACUAUGGAAAGAUCUAACACAAUCCUCUCCUGCAACUACUCUUCUGCACAAAUUCUUCAGUGGUAUCGUCAAUAUGAAGGAUCAAUUCCCACAUUUCUAAUGAAUGUGUUCGGUGAGAAAGACCAGAGAUAUGAGGAAGAUGGUCGGAUUGCUGGUAGACUGAAUAAAGAGAAAACCCAAGUGUUCCUGGAGAUCUCCUCCACCCGAGUGUCAGACUCUGCUCUCUACUACUGUGCCAUGCAGCCCACAGUGAUGCAACACCCAGCUGCUCCAUACAAAAACAUUUGCAGUAGUGCAAAAGUAGAAAGUACAGUAGUCCUGAAGUACAGUAUGUGUUUCUGCCUUUCUUUCUGGUUGUUCUGAUAGGACCUUCAUAACUUAUGUAUUUCACACAUGUAAUAUUUUAUGUUAGCAAGAUGUCUUUCCAUAUGUUAUACAAUAAGUGACCUAAUGAUCUAAUAGUUGUUUGCAUGUUGCAUAGCCACUGUAGCUCUACCAAUCAGUGUUCAGAGUGAGGCCUUCCUGAAUGAAGGUCAUGUGACUUAUUUUAGUACCAGUUACCCAAGGAGAGGCACCUCAGAGAGGUUUGUUAUUUACAGAACUAAGAACAUCCUCACAUCAUCUAGCACAGCAUAUUCCACAUGGAGACAUCACUGCUAUUGGUCCUCAUUAUGACAACAGACACAGCUCUCUACUACUGUGCCCUGAGGAGCC